rnacentral:rRNA from 1 species
UACAGAGGGUGCAAGCGUUAAUCGGAUUUAUUGGGCGUAAAGGGCGCGUAGGUGGUAAAGCAAGUAAGAUGUGAAAGCCCCGGGCUUAACCUGGGAAGUGCAUCUUAAACUGCUUAACUAGAGUACGAUAGAGGGUAGUGGAAUUUCCGGUGUAGCGGUGAAAUGCGUAGAGAUCGGAAGGAACGCCAGUGGUGAAGACGACUACCUGGAUCGAUACUGACACUGAGGCGCGAGAGCGUGGGGAUCAAACAGG